CCGAGGGAGGGGCUUCGUGCUCCCGGGGGUUUCGGCCUCCAACUCUUCACCCAUUGCGUACCUACCUUUGUUGCUUUGGCGGGCCAUGGGGUUCGCCUCGCGCCGGCCUUCGGGCUGGUGAGCGCCCGUCGGAGGCCCUUUAAAACUCCGUUUAUAGUGACGUCCGAGCAAAAGCCUCAAUAGUA
rnacentral:misc_RNA from 1 species